AACAAAAUCAAGUUUAGUUUUAAAUUUCAAAAUGGUAAUUUACAAAUUCUUAAAUUGAGCAAAAAAAUUUGCACAUUAAGAAUGGUUUAAAUAUUAAGGACUUUUUAAGACACAGUCUGGGUAACCCCAAAUUUGGUCAAGGUGCUGAUUUUGGUACCUCAACAUUAGCUAAAACAAGUAAAGGAAGAUCUUUGCAGAAGCGUUCAUAUGGAUAAUAAAACAAUCCGUUUCAAAUUUCGUGACGAAGUCAAGUUUAGUUACUUCCGUCUUAUUAGUGAAAAUCGGAAGAUGCAUAUAUUAGGGAGCUACAAUGUUGACGCGCAAAAAUAUAAUUCGUUUUUCAUAAAUGAAAUUGUCGACA